UACGUAGGGUGCAAGCGUUGUCCGGAUUUACUGGGUUUAAAGGGUGCGCAGGCGGGCUUACCAGUCUGUGAUGAAAUGUCAGGGCUCAACCUUGGCGCUGUCACGGAAACUGUAAGCCUUGAGCAUAGUUGAGGCAGCUGGAAUGAACGGUGUAGCGGUGAAAUGCGUAGAGAUCGUUCAGAACACCAAUUGCGAAGGCAGGUUGCUAGGCUAUAGCUGACGCUCAGGCACGAAAGCGUGGGGAGCAAAC
rnacentral:rRNA from 1 species